rnacentral:lncRNA from 1 species
GGUGAUUCAGACAGCAGAAAGGGACUCAGAGUUCCUGGUCCAGUUCUCUGGGCAGUGGUUUUGGUUGCUUGGAAAGGUGACUUGCUGUGCUUCGUAAUCCAGCACAGGUGAGGGAUCGUAGCUCAGCUCUGCCCCAGCUGCUUCCCAUUUCACACAGGGCUGAUUUAGCUCCACCCAAUCCAGCAGGUAUUUUUCUGUGGCAAUAAAAUUUCACUGGGUGCCUAUAAAGAGUCUUUGGAGAUGCUGCACAAAGCUGAAGAUGGUACUGCUUGUUGGUGAGAAUAAUUGUUCUGUAGAUAGCACGUGUUGCCAUAGCUUUUAUUAUCAUUUUUCACCAGUCCCUUUGCCGUUGCUGGCAGUCAAGGAGGCAACAUUGUGGCAGCCCUCCAGGAAUGGUGUGGAGCUGGUACCUUGCAGGGCUGGACUGGCUGGACUACUUCUUGUGCAAGCUUUUCCUUGAAACACACCAAGAUUUCUUGGAAAUCAAAACGUCUGGUGGCAGAACAGGAGAAUAUAGUGGGAAUUUCUUGAGCUUGAUUGUAAUCGGACGCUUUAACCAGUGUGAAGGCCUGGAUUACCUCUGCUAGAACUGCUACAGCCUGUCCCUGACUGGAGCUGUGCCACACAGAGGCUGCCUUGUGCAGGGCACUGGUUCCCAAGCCAGGCUGGUGGCCUUGCUUGGAAUGGGGUGAGAACUGGCCCAGACGUAGUACUGGCUACUGUGCUGUGCUGCAAGGGCUGCGAAAUAUUUUUCUGUUAUUCAAGUCUGUCUCGCAAAUGAAGUCGUUUCCUUGGAAGAAGUUUGGAAAUUGAAACAGUCCGCUGGGACCCCAUGUUUUGUCCAUUCAUUUCUUCUGAUUUUAUCUUGGGGAUCUGUGAGCAUGACUUUCAAAGAAGUGCUGGGGCCCAUUCUUUGUUUCUUGGCUCCAUGAACCUCUUAAGCAGCUCUGGGGCACUCAGUCCUCUGUGAUUGAGCUUCAUUUCCCUAUUUGCUUACUGCAGUCUUGUGUUCCUCUUUGUUUUGCUUUUUCCCUUAAUACAUCCUGUUAAUGCAGCCUUCCCUGGAGCCUCUUGAGAUUGUACUCUUCAGAAUUUUCAAAUGCGAUCAAUGGAUCUUACAGUCGAAAAGAAGGUAGAUGAGAAGCCAGAAAAAAACACAGAUGCAAUGUCUUUUCAAAUACUUUUUAUAAUUC